rnacentral:lncRNA from 1 species
AAGGCAUCCAAGGGUCACCUAAAUCUGCUGUCCAAGGAGAGCACAAUUCAGUUCCUUCGGUUUGUGCCAUCUUUCCACCUUAUUCCAUCUUCUCUAAAACAUCUACCCAAGGAAAUUCUUGGUCCUUUGAGCUCACUGGAGUGACUCCUAAAAACAGAGAAGUCUUCAGUAGCUGCCUCUGAAGCCCCAAGUCCAGCAUUGGCUCAACUGACCAGAAAGGUUAUUAAAUGGAAGACAGAGAAAAAGCAAGCAAAAUGUACGUGACCAUAGAAUGACAGGAUGGAAAAUCCUUCAGUAAAUUCAUUGGUGACAUAUUUCAAGAGUAAAAACUGAUUUCCAAGUCUCACUGAGGACCUGGCCUGAUUCCUUGGGUGGGACAAGGAAUUUCCAUCUUUUAAUGGAUGCAUUCAGAUCCUCUAAACAAGUGGAUGACCUUUAAUUCAUUAACUUUUUUAAAUCAUUA